rnacentral:rRNA from 1 species
GUGAUAAGGGAACUCCGAGUGCCCGUUAAAUCGGGCUGUCCACCAGUUUAAAUAACUGGUGAAGAAAGGGCCGGGCAAGACCGGUGCCAGCCGCCGCGGUAAUACCGGCGGCUCGAGUGGUGGCCACUAUUACUGGGCUUAAAGCGUUCGUAGCUGGUUUGUUAAGUCUUUGGGGAAAUCUACCGGCUUAACCGGUAGGCGUCU